AUAGCUAAAUUAGGAAAGCACUUCACUUACACCGAAAAGUUACUCGUGCGAAUCGAGUUACUCUGAUACUUAAAAGCUAGCUAAUGACCAUAUUUAAAGUAUUAACAUUCAUACAUAUUAAUUUAACAAAAGUAAAUAAUAAACCAUUCUCCACAUCUAGUAUAGGCGAUAGAAAGAAAACAAUAAGCAAUAAACCAAGUACCGCAAGGGAACGCUGAAAGAGCAAUGAAAGAAUUCAGUAAAGUAUAACGAAGCAGAGAUAAAUCCUCGUACCUUUUGCAUCAUGUUUUAACAAGAAUAAAUUAAGCAAAAUGCCUUCUAGUUUAAACCCCCGAAACUAAGUGAGCUACUUCAAGACAGCCUGGGAACAGGGCAAACACAUCUCUGUGGCAAAAGAGCGUGAAGAUCUUCAAGUAGAGGUGACAAACCUAACGAACUGAGUUAUAGCUGGUUGUCUGACAAAUAGAUAAAAGUUUAGCCUUUUGUUUUCUAAAUUUAAAUAUGUCACAACCACAGAAUACAAAAGAGUUAUUCAUAAGGGGUACAGCCCUUAUGAAAAAGGAUACAGCCUUACCAGGUGAUUAACGAACAUGUUAAACAAAGUUAGUGUUUUAGUGGGCCUAAAAGCAGCCAUCUAAAAAGAAAGCGUCAAAGC
rnacentral:rRNA from 1 species